rnacentral:rRNA from 1 species
UACGUAGGGGGCUAGCGUUGUUCGGAAUUACUGGGCGUAAAGGGCGCGUAGGCGGUGUGUCAAGUCAGGCGUGAAAGCCCCGGGCUCAACCUGGGAACAGCGCUUGAGACUGGCACGCUCGAGUUCGGGAGAGGAUGGUGGAAUUCCCAGUGUAGAGGUGAAAUUCGUAGAUAUUGGGAAGAACACCGAUGGCGAAGGCAGCCAUCUGGACCGACACUGACGCUGAGGCGCGAAAGCGUGGGGAGCAAACAGG